rnacentral:rRNA from 1 species
CGAAAACGAAUUCUCUCUUGAGUGGAUCCUGAGUACGACGGAGCACGUGAAAUUCCGUCGGAAUCUGGGAGGACCAUCUCCUAAGGCUAAAUACUCUCUAGUGACCGAUAGUGAACCAGUACCGUGAGGGAAAGGUGAAAAGUACCCCGGAAGGGGAGUGAAAGAGAACUUGAAACCGUGUGCUUACAAGUAGUCAGAGCCCGUUAAUGGGUGAUGGCGUGCCUUUUGUAGAAUGAACCGGCGAGUUACGAUCUGAUGCAAGGUUAAGCAGAAAAUGUGGAGCCGUAGCGAAAGCGAGUCUGAAUAGGGCGAAUGAGUAUUUGGUCGUAGACCCGAAACCAGGUGAUCUACCCUUGGUCAGGUUGAAGUUCAGGUAACACUGAAUGGAGGACCGAACCGACUUACGUUGAAAAGUGAGCGGAUGAACUGAGGGUAGCGGAGAAAUUCCAAUCGAACUUGGAGAUAGCUGGUUCUCUCCGAAAUAGCUUUAGGGCUAGCCUCAAGUGAUGAUUAUUGGAGGUAGAGCACUGUUUGGACGAGGGGCCCCUCUCGGGUUACCGAAUUCAGACAAACUCCGAAUGCCAAAUAAUUUAACUUGGGAGUCAGAAUGUGGGUGAUAAGGUCCAUAUUCGAAAGGGAAACAGCCCAGACCACCAGCUAAGGUCCCAAAAUAUAUGUUAAGUGGAAAAGGAUGUGGCGUUGCCCAGACAACUAGGAUGUUGGCUUAGAAGCAGCCAUCAUUUAAAGAGUGCGUAAUAGCUCACUAGUCGAGUGACACUGCGCCGAAAAUGUACCGGGGCUAAACAUAUUACCGAAGCUGUGGAUUGUCCUUUGGACAAUGGUAGGAGAGCGUUCUAAGGGCGUUGAAGCAUGAUCGCAAGGACAUGUGGAGCGCUUAGAAGUGAGAAUGCCGGUGUGAGUAGCGAAAGACGGGUGAGAAUCCCGUCCACCGAUUGACUAAGGUUUCCAGAGGAAGGCUCGUCCGCUCUGGGUUAGUCGGGUCCUAAGCUGAGGCCGACAGGCGUAGGCGAUGGAUAACAGGUUGAUAUUCCUGUACCACCAUUAUUCGUUUUAAGCGAUGGGGGGACGCAGUAGGAUAGGCGAAGCGUGCUGUUGGAGUGCACGUCCAAGCAGUGAGAUUGAGUGUUAGGCAAAUCCGGCACUCUUAAGAUUGAGCUGUGAUGGGGAGAGGAACUUGUUCCUCGAGUCGUUGAUUUCACACUGCCGAGAAAAGCCUCUAGCUAGAAUAACGGUGCCCGUACCGCAAACCGACACAGGUAGUCAAGAUGAGAAUUCUAAGGUGAGCGAGCGAACUCUCGUUAAGGAACUCGGCAAAAUGACCCCGUAACUUCGGGAGAAGGGGUGCUCUUUGAGGUUCACGCUUCGAAGAGCCGCAGUGAAUAGGCCCAAGCGACUGUUUAUCAAAAACACAGGUCUCUGCUAAACCGUAAGGUGACGUAUAGGGGCUGACGCCUGCCCGGUGCUGGAAGGUUAAGAGGAGUGGUUAGCGCAAGCGAAGCUACGAAUCGAAGCCCCAGUAAACGGCGGCCGUAACUAUAACGGUCCUAAGGUAGCGAAAUUCCUUGUCGGGUAAGUUCCGACCCGCACGAAAGGCGUAACGAUUUGGGCACUGUCUCAACGAGAGACUCGGUGAAAUCAUAGUACCGGUGAAGAUGCCGGUUACCCGCGACAGGACGGAAAGACCCCGUGGAGCUUUACUGUAGCCUGAUAUUGAAAUUCGGUACAGUUUGUACAGGAUAGGUAGGAGCCUUAGAAGCGUGAGCGCUAGCUUACGUGGAGGCAUUGGUGGGAUACUACCCUAAUUGUAUUGGAUUUCUAACCCGCAGCACUUAUCGUGCUGGGAGACAGUGUCAGGCGGGCAGUUUGACUGGGGCGGUCGCCUCCUAAAGAGUAACGGAGGCGCUCAAAGGUUCCCUCAGAAUGGUUGGAAAUCAUUCAUAGAGUGUAAAGGCAUAAGGGAGCUUGACUGCGAGACCUACAAGUCGAGCAGGGUCGAAAGACGGACUUAGUGAUCCGGUGGUUCCGCAUGGAAGGGCCAUCGCUCAACGGAUAAAAGCUACCCCGGGGAUAACAGGCUUAUCUCCCCCAAGAGUUCACAUCGACGGGGAGGUUUGGCACCUCGAUGUCGGCUCAUCGCAUCC